GCCGUGAAAAAGUAGGUGCAGCGUUAUAGUCGCCAAUAUCUAUUCCUAUCCCGGUGUAGCUCAAGGUGCCUAGGAUGAUUCAUAUCAGCAAAGUUUCACCAGUGGUUGUUCUGGUCAUGGCAACGUUCUUAUCCUGUGGAGUGCGACUGUCGUGUGGCCUCGCUACAAAUGAAGAUGGCGUCACCACGGGCACAGCAACCCCUAAUCCGCAAAAAAAUUUUAUGGACCAACUGCGUGAGAUGGUUGCCGACGCCUUUGACCGUUCAUGGUCGGCUACUUCGCGGAGACUAGUGCAAGCUGAAGUGUCACCCACUUGCAGCGCUGGUCUCUUGAAUAUGGCGCGUGGCUUGAGGAACUUGGAGCCUUGGGCAUUUCGUUUGUUCGACGCGUCCGGCAAGUACCCCAAUGGCAUCUUACAAGCCACAAACUCUGAUCCGGGAGCGUUCGACGAGUGCAUCGAGACUGUGCUGCAUGACCCGCUGUCGGGCCGCGAGACCCUACGUGCACAGUAUUGCAACCUCCGGCUGCGGCUCGC